rnacentral:snoRNA from 1 species
UGCAAAUGAUGUUUUUCUCACGAUGGUCUUCCUAGCCUAUGAGGUUCUGAUGACACUGCCUAAUGGCAACACUGAUGCAGUUAU